rnacentral:piRNA from 2 species
AACGAUACAGAGAAGAUUAGCAUGGC